rnacentral:rRNA from 1 species
UACGUAGGGGGCAAGCGUUGUCCGGAUUUAUUGGGCGUAAAGGGCGCGCAGGCGGCGCUUCAAGUCCGUUGUGAAAUUUCAGGGCUUAACCCUGACGGGUCAACGGAAACUGAAGGGCUAGAGUGCAGCAGAGGAAAGCGGAAUUCCCGGUGUAGCGGUGAAAUGCGCAGAUAUCGGGAGGAACACCAGUAGCGAAGGCGGCACUCUGGGCCGGUACUGACGCUGAGGAGCGAAAGCGUGGGGAGCAAACAGG